UAGCGUCAUAGUUCUACUGGAUAGCAACUAGGUAGAGCGGGUCACGUCAGCAUCUGUCGUAACGUUGCUGCUGUAGAACUUGAAAACUGAUCGCACCUAUUCUCGGUCACAGAGUAUCAUAUCUCGGCUCAUUAUAUGACUUCCUUUCACCAAACUGUUGGUUUUGUCUUGUCAACUCUACUCUCGCAGACAACGAAGAAAACGAAUGACUCACGGGACAUAUCUCGGUCACCUGAUCUCGAGUGAUUUUCUCUCUUCAGACGCAGAUCUGAGACGUUCUUUUUGGCUAAUGUUAUAGUCAUCACCGCUGGCUACUAUACCUAUGGGGUGAUGUCAGUGCUCAUUGUACUGUUGCUACGGCAGAACGUAAAACCUGAGAGACAAAUGGUCGGACAUCCGGGAUUGUAUCUCGGUUAGUCGCUUUCUACAAGACGAAUUGAGACGCUAGUCAUGUCUGUUGAAAGGUUCGCUUUGGAUGUUUAUGCCACUGAAUAGCCUGUUUUGUCUCUUCAGUUUUUACUGUUGCAGGGCGGUGAGAAAGGGAUGGCGUACGGGACAUAAUGUUCGCGGUCACGCGAUUUUUAGGUUGUAUAGUAUUGUGUGAUUUUUAGUCUACUGUUGUUCUAGAGCUAUAUUGUCACGAAUGUGUCAGUCUAACUUACUAUUUGUAGCACUUCAAACAUGCAACGUGAUGACUCUGAA